UUGCUUUCUUUCGGGAUCCAGUGGCGGCGUUGGGUCUUUCUUUAUGUGGUCGCCGUGAGCCUAUGUGUGGGGAGGAACUGGUCACCGAGUGGAGGUCCCCUCGAGCCAUCUUCCGCCUGGACUCUGCCUCUGUACUCAUAGUUGUACAUGUUCCUUGUUCCGCCCCCCCCCCCGCCCCCCCGCCCUCCCGUUCCGUUGGGGAAGUGCGACUCCAGACCAACUUCUCUCUGCAGGGCUGUCGGUGACGCGGUUGGAGACCGUGAACGUAAUGAACAUCAGCCCCGGGGGCCUGUUGGUAAGGUGGGAGUCCAUGUCCGCAUCAGCGGCGUUUAGCAGUAAAGCAGAGAUGAAGAGACUGGCAGUCCAGAAAACACAACUUUAUUCACUAAGACUGAAAACAAAGACUCUUAAUCUAAACCGACCUACGAGAUGGAGCUCACUGCCAGCCUCCUGCGUUAACUUUGCUCUGCCCAGGACUCAGCUAGGCUGGCAGUUCUAGCUUCCCUGACAUUUACUGAUUUCCCACGGCAUGCCAUUCGUGUAUUAUAAAGCCGCAAACUUGGCGUUCUCAAGGUAA